rnacentral:lncRNA from 1 species
AAACUUUAGAAUCUCUACCUCCCCUAUCUAUGGAUAUCAGCUACUGUCGAUCCAGCCGCCUGAUUAAGAACAGAGUAGGCGGAGGAUAUUAUCUUAUGGUGAACAACCAGGCAGUCCCAAGCGUUGUUCUACCAAAUAUCGCCCUAACUGAUGUCACAAACCCCGACCGCCACCUCUAUGAUCUAAACGCUCCCGAAGCCACCGAGCCUUCACAAACAAACCCGCACACAGACGAGUUUGAAGCAAUGGAGCAAGGUGAUCAUCCGCCUACAC